CAAUAGCGUAUAUUAAAGUUGUUGCGGUUAAAAAGCUCGUAGUUGGAUUUCUGUUGGGAACGACCGGUCCGCCCAUUGGGUGUGUAUCUGGCUUGUUCUCGGCAUCUUCUUGGUGAACGUUGCUGCACUUGACUGUGUGGAGCGCUACCCAGGACUUUUACUUUGAGGAAAUUAGAGUGUUUCAAGCAGGCAUACGCCUUGAAUACAUUAGCAUGGAAUAAUAAGAUAGGACCUCGGUUCUAUUUUGUUGGUUUCUAGAGCUGAGGUAAUGAUUAAUAGGGAUAGUUGGGGGCAUUCGUAUUUAACUGUCAGAGGUGAAAUUCUUGGAUUUGUUAAAAACGGACUACUGCGAAAGCAUUUGCCAAGGAUGUUUNCAUUGA
rnacentral:rRNA from 1 species